rnacentral:rRNA from 1 species
GAUGAACGCUAGCGGCAGGCCUAACACAUGCAAGUCGAGGGGCAUCAUGGCGUAGCAAUACGCUGAUGGCGACCGGCGCACGGGUGCGUAACGCGUAUGGAACCUACCCACCGCAGGGGGAUAACCCGCCGAAAGGCGGACUAAUACCCCAUGGUUCCCCGACCCUGCCUGGGGUUGGGGGUAAAGCCUACGGGCGGCGGUGGAUGGCCCUGCGUGCCAUUAGCUGGCUGGUGGGGUAACGGCCCACCAGGGCGACGAUGGCUAGGGGGUCUGAGAGGACGAUCCCCCACACUGGUACUGAGACACGGACCAGACUCCUACGGGAGGCAGCAGUGAGGAAUAUUGGUCAAUGGGCGGGAGCCUGAACCAGCCAAGUCGCGUGAAGGAAGAAGGAUCUAUGGUUCGUAAACUUCUUUUGCAGGGGAAUAAAGUGCAGGACGUGUCCUGUUUUGUAUGUACCCUGAGAAUAAGGAUCGGCUAACUCCGUG